CGAGUGUGGAGAUCGUCCACCGUCUUCUCCACCUCCGGUCACCGUCGCCGUUGCCGAAUCCACCCCCUCCGGUGAGUACCAACCCAAUUCCAUGCAUCAGUACCAUCUCUGGGGCCUCUCUAACCUCAUGGACACACAUGCAUGAUAGUUCUUGGAGCUGAUUGAGCCAUCGCCGUUCACCCGGAGGUUCUUGCCGCCGCCGAGCCGUUACACGAGCCACCGUCAUAAACCUAGCUACCCCAGCCAUGUCUACCAUCUCGGUGAGCACCCUUCAGCCUAUAGAACAUACAUGCAUGCACCCAAUUAACCAAUACAUGAUUGUAGAAGCACAUGCAUCACCACCCGAAAACAUCCUCCUUUCGGACUCGCCGCCGGCGUUACUCCGAUGUCCACUGACCGAGAAAAGUAGAGGAAUGGAAUCGCAAUAGCAUGAUCUUCAUUUUGUCUUUUGGUCGCACCCUCAAACGAGCCAUCGUUUGUCGCCGGUGAGCUCGAGAUUGAGCUCAGCCAUGGCUGUUCUGCCUCUCUGCGUGAGAAAAGAAGUCAGGGACCUUGUUUCGAGAAUUUAAACAACUAUAAGGUUUAAUGUGCAACUUUUCAACUCACUGACAUAUGAGCCUAGGUCUGCGGGUUGAUUCUUAGAAACCUCAGGGAUCUUUUUGUAUAUUGAUCUUUCACUGACAGUGGACCCCUUGGAAACAAAAAUCUGAAAUUAUAAAAGGAAAGUACCUAAAACUUGUAAAAUCCAUAUAAAAUUAAAUAUAGCUCAUUUUAAGAUGAUUCAAAUUUCUGUGAACUCACCAAAUUGGGAGCUUUGAUGUUAUGGAAUAAAAACUUCCACUCACAGUACAAAUUUAGCCUCUAAAAUUUAUCCAAGUUAAAUCACACAUAAAGCACGCACAAAAUUUAUAAAAUGCAUACAGAAUUCAUUUCAACUCAUUUUGGAGCAAACUCAGUUUCUACAGAUCCACCAACUUAUGUUCUCCUAUAAAGCAAAAUGAAAUAGCAUACAUACUAUACAUCAAAUGCCUCUAAAACUAUUACCUUUAAAUGACUAGUUUUAGAUAAGCUGAAUUUUAGAAGUUCAUAUAAAAUUCAUCUUAGAUCUUUUUUUAGUAAACCCAAGUUCUGUAGAAUCACCAAAACAUAUACUUCCAAAUUAUAAAAUAAAAUUAUAUACUUACUGUAUGAUAAAAGCCUCUAAAUACUUAUGUAAGUAAUAACCAUCAUAGAGCAACCUUAAAUUGUAAAAUUUGUAGAAAAUUCAUCUUUAGUCUAAAUGAAGUGAACCAAAUAUCUAUAGAACCAGCAAACAGUGGGCUUCAACAUAGUAAAAUAAAAUAUGGAACCUUCUGUACAGGUUAUAGCUCUAAACUUUAAAUUUAUAGGAUAGGUGCUAAUCACAUAGUAUCGAUUGAGCAAUAUGUAUAUAUAUAAAUGUAUAUAGAAAUACACUCUAGCUAUAAUGAAACUCAAAUAAAACUUGUUAGACCAGUGAAUGCAUAGUUCCAUUCCCAUCCACCAAAACUUAAGGCACUUAGCUCAUAUAAUAAUUUCUAGGUUGAUAUAAUAAAUUGCUAACAUGGACUAGAGCUCCCCUAGUUUAUAAAAUAUGAACCAUGAUAAUAAAGACCAUAAGCCUAUGAACUAAGGUUAGAUUAGUUAACUAAAAUACUCAUUUUAUACAUCACUAGCUAGAUGAGGCAAGUUCUAGACCUAAACCUCUAAAGCCAUGAACCUAUAGAACACUAUACACCUAUAACACGUUAUAACUUGUAAAAUACAUAAAGAAUUCAUAUUAACUCUAAAAAUUAUGAAACCAAAUGUGUUAGUGUUAGAAAACACAUAUCUUCACCCCAGCAAACAUAAACUUAAUAAGAAUUACCUUACAACAGCAUUUCACAACAGUAACUAAGUAAAUCCUACACUAUACCGACGAAACUUCUAAAAUUCAUAACUCCCAAAUAAAAUGAGAUAAAAUAGAAAUUCUUUCACCUAAAUUAAUUUUAGACCAGUACCUAUUCACUGUGCACAAAUCAUCCAUUUUAGAGCAUUUUGGAUUUUUCGCAUAUUUCGGUGUUUAAUUGCAUAACGUGUACUUUGUAUAGAUGAUUGCUUAAACGGUGAAGAAGUGAUUUAGGUGCUGACAUUUUCCUGAUUCAAGGCAAGUCCCACCUCCCUCUCUUUGAUCACUUUGAACCUAUGUUUUGGAGGUUAUUGAAAAUGUUUGCAAAUCCUGCAUGUCGAUUGUGCAUUAACAAAUUAAAAUUGUGUUAAACUUGUUAGACAAACUCCUAUUAUUUGCAUUAUCACCUUAACCCCACAUAUAUCCAUAUCCCUCAUUCCUAACCUUAGGAACAAUAUGACUACACCACUUUAUAUAUGAAUUUUGGAGUCACUAGGUUACUAUAAUGCUUAGCCAUGCUUAGAAUGGUCUUCCUUGUCAUUAUGGGCUCAUUACAAAUAUGAAAAAUUGAUUUUGAAAUAAUCUGGACAGAACUUUAAUACUUGUGAUUUUGAUAAAUAAAAUGAUGGAAAACAUGGAUUUUAGGUUUGGGCCUCAAGUGGUGCACAUAUGGUGAUUAGUUGUGUACCGAUAGGGGGAGAGUGUGCCCAAACCGACCUAAGGACUUCACUCAAUGUCAGUUCAUUUCGUAUACAGUGCAACCACAUGUGCUAGUAUGGGAUAGCCCAAGCUUAGUAAAUUAUUUAUGGUUUAGCCUUACAUUCUGGUAGGCCGGUGUGUAUGAGUUCGUAUAAUUCAGAGGAGUUUCCUAUUUACCCCGAAGUGGUAGUUUAGGUGACUAAGCGUGUCCAAUACAACGGUAUUGUGCCACGUGGUGGGUUCCCGUUGUGUCCGCCACCACGGCGUUAAGUUUAAGGCGUGGGCCCGCCACUUAACGGUUCUAGGUCAUAUAACGUGUAUGGCUUAGGAUGGAGUAACACGUAUCGUGCUGGUGUAAGGCUAAAUCAUGAAUUUUGGAAAAGCUUUGUUGCGGGUAAUCGACUGCUUCUUCUAGGACUUGAACUUAAUGGGGUAAACCCCUAGUCGGUGUGCUUGUGGAUUGGGUAGACAAGCUUCCACUGUUCUAUAUAUUUAUUUGGCCAAUUGGCCAAUGUAACUAAAGUAGAUGUAGUUUAUAAUCGCUUUCAUCUUAUUUGUGUUUGCUAUGUAUAAUCAUGCUUGAGAUGAAAGUGUGAAUCUAGUGCACAUCCUGGGAACUAGAUUCACAUGAGUAUGAGUUAAGAAUAUUUGAGAUGUUGUAGAUCUUUAGCCAUUUUUGUCAAGUCUCCUGAAUGUGUAACACAUCUGGUCACCGCCUUCGAGUGGUUUGACGGGCACAUCUCAGGCUGAAGUUGACUGGCAGGCUAAAGGCCCGGCAAUGUCUCCAAUAUUCCUCUCUCGAGGCGUCGGAUAUUUCAUUAUACUUGUUUGAUGACUUGAAUUAUACAUUUCAUCUCUCAAUUAUAAUGGAAGGUCCGGAGAGCCUACGACACGUUUAACGACCGAUUGUGAUAAAUACCACUGUAGGUUCCUUAAUACAAAUACCACCUAUCCACAAACCAGUUGUUGCUUUUCAAACUAAGGCACAUUCAACGACCGAUCGAGAUAAUUACUACUGUGCUAGUUCCUUAAAGAGUAAAUUUCAUAAUCAUUCAGCUACUUUAAUUGAUCAAAUUAUUUUAAAAAUAUAGAUUUAAAGUGAUGUUUACCAAAAUUACAUAUUUAACACCAAAUUUACUAUGCAACUACGAAUUUAAGGUGGGUAAGCCAAAGCUACAUAUGUAAUAAUAGAGUUAUAUAUAACAAAACUACAGGUUUUAGAGUUUAAAUCUCUAGUGCUACUAUUAUGUCAGAGUCAUAAACGUUGUAGAUUUGUGAUUAAAUGGGUACAUAAACAGUAGUUCCAUGAUAAAUUUAAUGCUAAAUCUGUAGCUUUGUGAUACACCAUCUUAAAUCUGUUGUUUUGUAUUAGUUUGGUGAAAAUAUCCGUUGUUCUGUGAAAUUUACAUAGAAUAAAAAAUAUAGAUGAUUUGCAUUUCACAAACUUGAAUACACACUUGCAUACUGAUUUGGGGAAUGACUGCAGUAAGAAAAAAAAAUUCACACAUAAGCAAGUUGAUGUUUAAGAAAAUUUGAUGGCAAGAACACAUCGAGGAUAAAUCAAUAGAAAACAACACAAAAAAUCUUAAAAACAAUAUCAUACGCAUCUCGGCUCAAAUCCAACCCAACUGUGCUAGCAUGCCUCGCCAUUGCCUUAAACUCCAGACCCAUCAUUGUUGUCAUGACUCGCCUCCUCAGUCUCCCCCUGUCACAACCUUAAGCUAGAUGUGGCCCGUGGAGGAGUUGCCCGGGUUUAGGAAGAUGAGAAGCCACUAUUGCCAAUGUGAGGGCCUGAUCCAGUUGUCCUGGCUUUCUUGCCUGUGUUUUUGUUGUCAUACCUGGUUCUCUGUUAUCGAAAGAGGAGUAUGGAUUGUGUCAGACAAGGAGUAGACGGUGCUGGAGCAAGAGUGGAUGGCAUCGCUUGGAGCCGGCUUUAAUUUACGUGAUGUCUUGAGGUGAUCUCCACAACAGCCGAGAGGGCUGUAAGGUACCAUCAUCAUCAGGGAAUUCGUCAGGAAAGCAGUAAACAUUUCUAGCGAUGAAAAUGGCAACAUCGUCAUGAAGCGGGUUAUGGGUGGCGUCUUCAGGUACCAUCAUGAAAUAAAUGAUCUGCCUCAUACCGUCAUUGGGGGAGAUCGAUCUUGGAGGUCAUUGUGGGAAGCCAUAUAUGAGUGGGGAUGAAAGAGAGAGGGGGAAUGGAGAGAUAUCGAGAGAAUCGGGUGUUAGUGCAGGACUUAACCAGAUCAACGGAUGUGAGGCCAACACUUAAUGUGGUUCUAAAACUAUGACCGCCAUCUCGCAAUUUUUGCCAUUAGUUCACCUUAAGAACCGGUAUUGAAUAUUACUGCCAGUUAUUUUAAUUCGCAGUGAUUUUUGUACUGCCGGUUCCAUUUGGACCAAGAUUGAUAGGCCGGUUGGUGUUUCGGUACUCUGUAUCAGUUAUUAUGUGUUGCGUCUAAGUUUGAAAAUUUGUAAUCCUACGUCUGUGUAAGAAUAUAUACCCCGCUUUACACUACAAAGUUUGUAGCUUGUAGCACCUCUCAAAUACACUAAAGCACUAAACAAAAUAUCAUCCUAGUUAGGCUCCACUACUGCAAAACAUCUGUUAGGUGCCAGUUGCAAACCCGGCAUACAUGCUGAAUUUACAGCCGGCACAUAUCAUCUGGCAGCAAUACCCUAGACUUAUUGGUGCCAGUGGUAGGAAAAAAGAAACGCCAGCUCGAUGCUUUGAUCAGUUUGAACCUGUUUCCCAACAUUGGAUCAAGAAUCCACAUCAACAGAUCAAGAACAUACAGGAUCAACAAUCCCCCAAAUCAACAUAUCAAGAUCAACCCCACACUAAUUAAUCCCCUGAUCUGUAACUUAGAAACUAAAAAAAAUGAAAAGUCUGGACUCCUAUAAGUCGGUAGCUACGAGGGUUUUGUAGUAGUGCUCAAAUACCAUGACAAAAAAGGUUUGGCAAAUAUCCAAGGGUGCCAUGUCGUAGUUAUGUUCUUCGGUGUAUGAGAUUCAUCUCUAGUGAAAAAAAAUAGGUCAUCUCUCAUAUGGUAGCGAUCGGACAAUAAUAAACCUUUUGUUUAGAUAAAAGUUAAAUUAAACUAUGAAAUGUUAUCUACCAGAUGCCACCAUAUAUACAUGUGUUCAUGUAAGAAAGCAAUAUUACUAGAGUGUACUAGUAGUAACGAAAGAUGUUAUAGGAGUUUUACUGCACAUUCGCUAGCCACGCGUAGCAGUACGGUUGUUGGGAGAGAUUAUAUUUGUCACCUAACGUGACUAAGGCAUGUACCUGCAGUAUACUCUCUCCGUCUAAAAAAACAAACCCUGGUUUCCGUGUCCAACGUUUGACCGGCCGUUUUAUUUGAAAAAAUUAUGAAAAAAAUUAAAAAGAUAAGUCACGCAUAAAGUAUUAAUCAUAUUUUAUCAUUUAACAACAAUGAAAAUACUAUUUAUAAAAAAAUUUAUAAGACGGAUAGUCAAACGUUGGCACGGAAAUCCAGUAUUUGAUUUUUUUAAGGACGGAGGGAGUAUGUACGCAGCAACUGUACUUGCACAAUUUCAAUUAUGAGUUGGACUUGAGGGUGGGCUUAUGACGAGAUCAGCUGACGCGAGGCUAAUUAAAGCUUCACGUCGUCACCGGAUCGGCUGGCCGGCUCGCAAUUUUCAAAUUAGGGUGUGUUUAAUUCACACUAAAAUUAAAAGUUUGGUUAAAAUUAAAACGAUGUGACGGAAAAGUUGAAAAUUUACGUGUAUAAGAAAGUUUUGAUUGAUGGAAAAGUUAAAAGUUGAAGAAAAAUUUUGAAACUAAACCAGACCUUAAUACGUGUUGUCCUUGAAUUAUUGCCACUACUAGUAUUUAUUCUGAACGGCAUUGAUACCCGUACGUUCUAGUUCAACUGGAAAUAGUACACGAGUUGGUACUACUACUAAACCAUUUGUAUAGUUCUCAGACAUUUUAGACUGUGUUUAGUUCCAUAUUAAAAUUAGAAAUUUGAAAAAAAUGAAACGAAGUGACGGAAAAGUUGAAAGUUUAUGUGUGUAGAAAAGUUCGAUGUGACAGAAAAGUUGAAAAUUUGAAGAAAAAAAUUGGAAUCUAAACAUGAUCUUAAUUAUUAUAUAUAGGCAGAUAAGAGAUAUACCGAUUUGCCACCAAAGUCCAAAGAGUCUGUAGCCCAAGAGAUUGUAGCAUCGUAUAGAACCUCUCAAAUACAUAAAAAACGAUUGGGAUUAUAACACCUCUCAACAAGAAAAGCCAUUUGUCUGGGGACAUUGUUUCUAGUACUCCACAAGAUCGCGGCUGUGCAAGAGCAAUCACGCGCGCCACCGUGCACGAUGUAACGAGCACAUGUAUGACAGUAUGAGAUGCCUUUGAGCAGUUUCAAUUCAUGUAUCAGCCCAAUUAAUUAUAUGUUUGUCAGAACUCGAUCAGAAACUAAGGUUUCCCAGAAAUACACCCUCCGUUAAAAAAAAGACAACUUCUAAAGAUAAAUCUGGAUAAAUGUUUGUCCAGAUUCAUCUCUAGAAUUUGGUUUUUUAUAAGACGGAUGAAUAGUUUGGCAGGGUAUAUAAAAAGACCUUUAUACCAAGAGAGUACAUGCUGGAUUGAUCCUUUCUAACCCCCAAAAUUAUAUAUAUAAUUAUAUAUGUAUCUGGAAUGUGUGUGUAUAUACAUACACUUCGCGGAUGCUGACAAACAUUGAUAUUUCGACCACAUCAACAUGUAUUAAUUACCUCAUUCCAAAAUAAAUAUAUAUAUAUAUUUUUAGGCGUUAGCACUUAAAUGAGGAUGGAGAGAAAAAAAAUACUCCUUACUAAAAGAAAGUAGCUUUGGAUUACUGUUAAUGGCACUACUGGAUACCACACGCUUUCCUGCGGGAUAUGUAAACGAAUACAUGUUAUACAUUACAGAAAUAAUAUAGGUAUAGUAUAUAUUUAAAUAAUGUAAAAAUGAUGCGAAAAUAAUGAUUUGACAUUGAUUUCAUAUUGAGUUCUAAAAAUAUAACAAAAUUAUAAAUGGUAUAUCAUGUUUGCAUGAUAUUUAAAAUAUUAUACUACCUCCGUCCCAAAAUAAUUGUAUUUCUAGAAUUCAAAAUUUGUCCAAAAUAAUUACAAUUCUAGAGUACUAAUUGCCCCAUCAAUCAUCUCUCAUUCAAUUUUUUCCUAUUUUUCCCUUAACCAUCUUCCCGCUCUCACAUAAACACUAUUUAAUGAGGGACACUAUAGUCUUUCCUCUCAAACCUUAAUACAUGCUAGAAUUACAAUUAUUUUGGAACGGAGGUAGUAGAUAAUAAUUGCUAGUGAGUGAUGAUGUAUCACACUUGCAUAUGGAGUUUUAGGAGUUACUGUACAUAAACUGUAGAUAGUAUAGAUUUAUUGGAUGGAGAAUACGAGGGAACAUAUCUAAUGCACUUUAAUUAGGACAAAUAUUAGCGGAUAGGAAUGAAUUCAUUUUGGGAUAUAUAUGGAGGAAGCAUAUAACUAGCUCCUAUCUCGUUUAAUUUUGAUGGACAAUUAAUAUAAUUAUUCAUACAAUAUAAAUAAAACAUCAGGCUCAUAUCGAUAAAAAAAAAUACUAUCAUGCACAUCGUAUAGGUUGUUAGCUGCUUGGAACCUGUAGACUCUCUAUAUCUACCGCAGCCCGGAGUUAUAUAUGGAUGGUACAGUUAAUAAUGCUUGAUGGUGAUUGCUGAAAACGUGGCAAAAUUGGGCAGACCAUUGAUAACUUUGCUAGCUACGUGCCAGACAGCAACCAGAUCCAAAACAGUGUUAAAAUCUGUACUACUGUAGCAUCAUGCAUGUUUCACGCCCUUUGCUCUCAGCCUAUGCGUGCCAGCUAGCCUCUUUUGCCUUCGAUUCCACAGUGCCACUGAACUGCCACACCUGCACACACCACCACGUAGGCACCCAAUACUUUUACAUCUGUGAGUAUGUCCCUUAAUUUGCUAUUUGUUCAACACAGGUGAUUAAAUGUUAAUUAAUUCGGUACACCUACUAAAUUCAUAGGGAUGCCGCAUAUGUAAAUUAUGAACACCAUAAUUUAAACCAUGUUCUGGAGAGUACUAUCUUCAGUUUUGUUUGGCACAGCUUUAGCUCCUGGAGCUGAAGCUCAUCCAAACAGUUUCAGCUAUACCUAAAAUAGGAGCAGAGCUGGGUGGAGCUCUCUCACAAGAUAAACUAGAGUUGUGGAGCUAGGUCUAGGUAGCUCCACAUCAGGACCGGUCCUAGGGUUUUGGGGCCAUAGGGCAAAAACUUAUAUGGAGGCCCCUAUGUAUACAUGUAAACUAGUAUAUAUAUUUAUAUAGUCUUAUAAAGAGGAAAAAAGAUAGAGAAAUUUACCAAAUAAGAUGAAUUGGACUUGAAGGAGUGUAGGAUCUUGAAAUCAGAUGAAUGAAUGAAUUGGAGGAGUGUAGUGCAGGCAGCGGGCGACAGGGGCAGCGAGUAGUAGCGAGCAGAGAAGGCGACCGGUGGACGAUCAAGACACACGAGCAUGGCUACUGGCGAGCCGCGAUUUGCUGACUUGCCGUAUCCGUUUGCGAGAUGCCGAGAAGUCACCGAGAGCGCAGGAGCAGCGAGCGGCGUGAUGUGAUCGAGAUGGUGCAACGCGAGUGGCGUGUGUGAUGUGAUCGAGACGAAGCGACGGGAGUCAGAGGAAGAUCGCUUCGUCUUCGCUGAAACAAGCCUGGCGAUGGACUAAAAUUCAUUUUCUAUAUUGGGCUAUUCAGCUGUCUAACUUAUAUAGGCCCAUGGCCCAUGGACUAAAAUUAUAUAAUACGUAGUAUAUAUACUAUAUGUGUAUAGGGGCCCCUAGAUUUUGGGGGGCUCGGGUGGCGGCACGGCCUGACCCCCCCCAGGACCGGCCAGUCCACAUCUCCACUCCAGACCCAACUCAUGUAACUAAAUUUAGACGUUGGAGCUCUACCAAACAGGCCACCCUUACACCUAUAUUGUUUCAUGAAUCUCAUCAUAGAAAACCCAAUCCAAAUCAAAUGUGACACCCCAAGUAUUAUUCGACAUUUCUGGCAUCCAAUAUCUCUCCAUUUGACCUAAGAAGGCCAUGGUAGCUGGUGGCACGUGGUAUAGACUUCGGCAAAACAUAGUAAGUGCUCCGCGACCAAUUCAUUAUGGAAUACACAAAAAGUAGAUGGACGCACUCCUUUUUCUUUCACCUGUGUUCAUAACCACUCUCUACUUAGAAGCCAUUAUCGAUCGAAAAUACAUAAAAUUCACCGCUGACCCGUGAAACAUGAGGAUAUGUUUUGUGUACAGAUGACAUGAAUCUUUUCGGGGAUAUGAGCAGUUCUCACAGUAUUUGUAAACUAUAACCUACCUCCAUGGUUGUGCUUAAAGUGGAAAUACGUUAUGUUGCGAUUGUUAAUCCACGGACCGAAACAACCCGUCUCAAUGAUAAUGAUGUAUUGUUAGAGCCGGUUAUCGAUGAUCUAGAAAUACUCUGGUAAGAACUUUAAUCUCCGCGUCCUAUUGUUUUGCACCAUUAAUGACUAUUCCAUCCUUGGUAAUCUUUCGAGACAAACUGUGAAAGGAAAAAAAGGUUUGCUCAGGCUGAAAAAAUCGCAAAAUAUAUUUUACAUGGGUCAUAGGAGUUAGUUGGCUCCGGUUACGUCACUCGUACAGAAAAAAGAAGAAACUUUUUCAACGGUAAGAAAGAGCUUCAACAUGCUCCAGUGGAUUUAACCAUAGAUGAGGUGCAUGACAUGAUUAAUAUAUAAGUAAUGAGUUUAGGAAGAAAAUGAAAUGUCCUAAGGAAAAUGAGAAGGGUUUGUGGAAGAAAAUCCCUAUAUAUUGGCAACUACCUUAUUGGAAAGAUAUCGACGUCCGUCAUUACAUUGAUCUCAUGUAUACUUCUUCUAUGUAUUAUCUUGUAGUACUAUCAAAAAAUCAAUGUUUUGAAUACACAAUUAUCUAGUACAAUAUUUUUGGAGAAACUAUACAUACUACAAUAUACAAAGGAAAGUUGUUGGUAUGAGCUAUAGCCCACCUCAUCUAGCACCCUCUUGCCUAGCUAAGCAAGCUGGAUUAAGAAACCAAACUCAGAUCUUCAGUUUUUUAACAACUGGGAUCCUCAGAAUCCUCCAUUUUUCGUGUCGUAAUUAACAUAAAGCCGACACAUGUUGAUUUGUUCUCUCUCACUAUGCAAAUAUAUAUACAUAGAGGUGCAUCAUUCUACUUACACUACUUAUCAGAGGGAAUGCUGGGGUGGAUUGUUGGAUCAGAAGUCAUUACACAAAUUAAUCAAUCGAGCAACCAUUUGUAGGCUGUAGAAUGAAAGAUUGUGGUGAAUUGGCCUACAGGUCAUAGAGAUUUUAAUCCUAUUGACAACCCACUCUCUCAAACAGUAGUAACAACUAGUGUUGAAUUGGUGUCAUGUUACGCAUGUUGGACAUAAUUUGCAUAAAAGUUAUUGAAGGGUUGUGUUUGAUGAAGACAUGGAAGCCAUUGGUGACCAUGUUUGCAUCAAAAGGUUACAGUUCUGGUAGUAAAACACCAGUACAGAUGGUCAUAAGGCUUGAGGCCCGAUAGUUGGGCCGUGCCUGGGCCGAUGCCUUGGCACGGUGGGCUGGCCCGACACGGCACAAUCAAAGAAAAAGUUGAGGAAUCCAAAAUAGACUUAACUCAGCCAUACAAGACAUGGCCCAUAGAGAAGAAGGAUACACGAUAGACUUAUUCCAACCAUAUAAAACAUAGCCCAAAGAGAUGAGGGAGGAAAAUAGACUUAUUCUACGAAGAAGCACAAUGUGUUGUCAUGCCUUCAGGCAGCCUAGCACGGCUUGAGUCUUAAUGGGCCGUGCCUGGGCCGUGGAUGCAGCCUGUGGGUAGGCACGGCCCAGCCCAGCGUGUAGAUCGGGCCGUGCCGGCCCAACUGAACUCAUCACAAGCCCGGUCAUGCCCGGACCGGGUGACCCAUUUGACCAUCUAUAAAAACCAGUGGUAGGUGGUGCGAUGAGGGUGGCGUUGGCCCUCCGGUCUCCACUUGUACUUCCCUGCCACGGAUGUCACCCUUCGAACUCCCUCAAGCACCUCUAUCAGCACUGGCUUAACCUUUAUUGGGAACUAGGAAACAUCUAUGUUUGUCACCUCACACACGAGCUAGGUUCCUUUAGUUUAAUGGCGCUAGUGAGUCGGGGGCAUGUCGGUUGAGGUCAACUAUGUGCACUCUGAUCAAUGCACAUAUAUGUCUAAUUAAAAAAUACGUAAGGUUUCCGUGACUAUUUUUGUCCGUCGUCGUCAUCAUCCGUGUACGUGAUGGAAAACUCUAGUGAAACGGACUCUGAGAUGAGAAACUCUAGGGUUUUGCUUAUUUAGGAUAGGGCUCGAUUCCGUGCACGAUACGAUGCAGUUUUGCUCCGAUUCAUGGGAAAACGGAGAGAGGAUGAGAUAAGAAUCGAAACUCCUCAAUCAAUUUUGUACUAUCUCCAAGGAUGCUACCGGAUUUCACGGAGAAGACGAUUUCAGACAGCGUCUGCAAGCUGCGGGAGUCUAGCCGGAGGUAGAUGACGACCGUGCGUGUAGCGCGGGUACCCACGCGACAGUGAGAGGAGUAACUGAGGGAGCACUAUUAGACUUGUGGAUGCCUGAUGGGCUUGAUGCGCUUGCAGGCCGGAGGCGAAGGGGAGGAGAAGGGGAGAAAAUGGGUCGGCUCGGCUGCGUGUUGAGGGAAGAAAUGGGCUGAAAAUGGCCUAGGGAGAAAGGAGGGUUUUUAUUUAGAAUUUUAUUUAAAUAAUUGCUGAAUGAUGUUUGUAUUAUCAAAAUUAGCAGUAUAGCUCUGAAAAUUCCGAAAAAUUUUAAGAUAGUUUAAUUAAUUAAGAAGAAUUUAAUAUAAAUUAAAUCCAGCCAUAGUUUAAUUGGGAAUUUUUUUUCCCACAUUUACUUCACCGGAAAAUUAAUUGAACUUUAGUAUAAAUUCUAGAAAUAAUUUAUUAAAUGAUUUAUAAAUCCCUUAAACAAAAAUCAUGGUGGAAAAUCCAUCAAGUUGUCAAUUUGGAUUAGGACGAUACAUACAUAUGUCCUAUCACCCACAAAAAUCAUGCAUCAUUCAAAUUUAUGUUGUCACUGCACAUCAAAAUAGAGGUCUACGAGAUCAAUUAAAUGAAAAUGACUUGAUGAAAACGCAUUCCCGAGAUCUGUGAACUCAAUGAUGCCAUCUUCUUUUUAGAGGGAAUGUGCUACUAAGACGCAACAUUACAUGCAACAUGAACGUUCAUCCGUGCGUUGCCGAUUCGGCACCCGUCUGUUUACCGCGUGCUUUCUGUGUUCCCAUCCAUGGUGGUCUCACGACAGAACGAACCGGUCCCAACGUCCCAACCACGACUGUUUUAUCAAGCCACUCCAAAACUAGAUAGUACAGUGAUGUUAUGUUAACGUUAGACCUACCAUAUCACCAGACCUAACAUCUUUCUUUUCUUCAACAUCGUAUAUAUGUGUAAUUGCAAUUUUCAUAUGUAGCGGGGAUGAAAUUGCAACUACAACAGAGAUACACACAUGGUUUCUUUAUAUAAAGAAGAUAAAAUUAGUAUUUUAAUUAAUUACAUAAUGUAAAUCUUUCUUAACUUUUUCUUAAUUUUUUUGAAUUUUCUUCCUAUUGCAAUCGUACGGGCACGUUGUCAAGUGGUUAGAGACGUGUAUAAGUCCUGGAGACUCGUCUUGGUCGGGCAUGGGCUCGGCCGGGGUGGUACGUGUCUGUUUUGCGUCUUCCUAUGGCACAGUUGCCAUGAUAUCAACCAACAUAAUUAUCCUAUAUGAAGGCACAUGGAUUGCCUAUUAUUUAAUUGUAAUGACAAACUAUUAACACACUAUCUAAACUCAUCGAUUUUCCAACACUAUUAUUUUUAUUGCCCUAAUUAACUAGUAGUUAUAAUACUGGGAGUCUGAGUCUCUGAGAGAUACUAUUUUUUAAUGUAAAAUUUGGAACCUCUAAAUAAUUCAUGUUCCUACCAAAAUUUACACUAGUAAAUUUGGUAUAUCUCAGUGCAUCUCGAGGAUUGUAAAUUUUCCCUAAUUAUGAGGACGUGAUACGUACUGACAGAAAGUGAGCAGUUAUGUGCUAUCAGUAGCAUGAUUCGAAAAAUAAAUUUGCAGAGUAUAUUUGAUGCGCACAAAAUACUUAUAAAUAUAUGAGUAAUUUUAGUAAAAGCCGAUGUUUUGUAGACAAACUUCUUGUAAAAACCCAUGUAUUAUGGACAUGUCAUAGGUUUUAUGGAUUGUUGACGAUUGUCUUCGCAGUGUCCCUGUGAUAUUGAUCCUGAUAAUUGGUUCAGGCCCUCUCAAUGAGAGGUAACACCCUACUCCUGUUUGGGGAUUUGAAUCCGCCGGGUGUAGUAUAGAUCUGAUGAUCAUAUGUGCUCAUGCCCCCUAGAGAGCCUCCUGCCCACCUUAUAUAGGAUGGGGGGCAGGAUUACAAGAUAGAAACCUUAACCAAUACGGUAUCGGUUUUCUAAAUAUACUUUACAAUCUUAUCAAACCAGGACUUUAGGCCGUUCCAUAAUAUACAGGGAAACGUAAUACCCAAAUCAUGAUCUGUUACAUAUUUCAUAGAUAUAAGUUAUCCCCUAUAACUAGACGGAUAACCACGCCGUGUGGGUAUGGGGUACCCAUAAUCUCUACAGUAGCCCCUGAGACUUUCACAGUCGAAAAGAUAAUCUUCUCUCGAACUAGAUUACUCCAAAGCCGAGUGCUUCAAUCAUCUUUGCCAUGGUCUCCCGUGUACUUUUACCAAAUCUGAAGACCGUGGAGGGCUGAAAAAUAAUUGAAUUUAGACUUAGGUGCACUGACUAGAUGCACCUAAUAGGUGUAGCCCCUGACUAUGUGCUUAGUUGAACAAACUAAACAUAUAGUCAAGGAGUAAAUAAUCCAACCAACCGAGUGGUUUUGAUAAUUGUAGUCAACCAAGUGACUUAAUAUUAAGAUGUAGCAUAUGCGGUGUGAAUCCCCGAGUAAUCAUGAUAUACCGACUGCUUUGUAAAAAUUGAUGCGAGCAACCUAAAGUUGAGUACAUCAUUGAAAAUUCACAUAGUAAAACAGCUAUAAAGAAGCUUGAAUGCUGCGAAUAAAGAAAUUUCCAAAGUAUUGGGCAUACGCCAUGCGCACACUGCUUUAACAGAUGUGCUUAAGUCUCUAAAAGACACAUGGUUUCACCACACUUGGAAAUAUAUGGCAUAUGUGGUGUAAAAUCCGAGUAAAUAAACUCAUAAAGGAUUUACCAACCGCCUAGAAAAUGACCACAACGUAUAAUCAGCCUAAGCCAUAAUAUUGGUCAACAAAAAUGCACACUUACGUGGCAAAAAGCAACGAUAUUGUAUCCAAUCAAUUGCUUGAUAAACCCAAACAGUGCCUUGACUAUAUAAAAAAGUCAGCGGGGCAGCUAUAUAAAGCUUUACUGUUUGACACCUUUUAAGAUGCAUUGUACCAACUCCUAAAAAGUUGAGUAACUGCGGUAUAAAAGAUUUUAAGGUAUUGAGCAUUUGAUCACGCGCACUUUGGCCUAAGCAAAAAGUGCCUAAGUCACUAAAAGAACGUGACAGGCCACACCUGAAAAUAUGGGCUGCAGACAUAUUAGGCCUAGGCCAAAAAAUAUGCAUUCGACACCCUUUAAAGGAUGAUGCAUGUAACAUGCUCCCGAGUAAUAAAUCUUCCGAGUGAUAUAGACCAAGUGUAGCUCAUAUGAAUAGCUUCUGAUCUGAGUGAUUAUCCCUUAUGGGAUACUCCAAAAUAGAUAUAAAAAUUGAAUCCCGACUGGUGCAAGUAUUAGUUGAUAACCCUUACGGGGAAUAAUGAUUGGUCUGGUCUUCGAGCACAGAAAAUAAUCUCAGGACUACAAGUACAUGUUGUCUGUAUCUAGAACAAAAUCCAACUUGAAGGUAUGAUCUUUGUGUUUGAGUUGAUAAGCCCCUGAGCAUAUAUAGCUUGUCCUUUUAUCAUAGUCAAAAUUGUCCAUUGGCAAUAGCUGAUGCAGUUGAUAUGAAAGCAAGAUGACUAACAUGGAGAUGAUAUCACCCAUCAAAGCUGACGACGAUGUUGGUGGUGGUAAAGACAAUGACGCCAAUCAAAGGUGAUGAAGUCGCAUAGCCGUAGAGGCGAAGAAACCAGUCGGCAGCAGACAAGUCAGCCAACAGUGAAGAUGAAGGCGUCCAGCAACAUCGACAAAAUUGUGCAGCCAUGGUGGCGAAAUAAUCAAUCGGUGACAGACGAGGUAGCCGGUGAAGAAGAUGAAGAUGCCCAUUAGUGGCGACAUAAUAAGCCAUCCGUGAAGGCGAGGAUACCAGUCGGUGGUGACGAAAGCAAGCCGACGGUGAAGAUGUAGACACGCAUCAAAGGCAACAACGAAAUCCACCAAUCAUGAAGAUGAAGAAAAUAGUCGGCGACGACAAACGCAACUGACAUGAUAAAGAUGACGAUGUCGGUGAUCUAGUGAAUAGCAGUGUCGCAACAAAUGAUAAUGACGAAGACGCUCAUCAGCAUUUGCAUAGUAGGUCAACCGUGAAGGUGAAAUAAUAAGUCGGUGAAGACAUAAUCAUCCAUUAGCAACAGCGGAGAUGUUAGGGUCGAUGAAGCAGAUGUGCUGGUGAUGAUGUCAGUGACAAUAAUCCAUCAAACUGUUGAGAAGAUAUUGAAGCUCAAGUAUUUUCUUAAUGUUGGCAUGUGUGUGACGAAGAUUGAUGCAACGCCUCUUGAUUUAUAAAGAUGGCAGUAGAACUUGGUGCUAUAGCUGUUGCAGAUGCUUCACUUAGAGGAAAGUAUAUGCUGUUGUUCAACUCAUUGAAUCUGAUACGAGUUGAUUGGUUGAUGACUCCAAACUCCCAGACAUGUAAAUUUAAUCUUGACCUACUGCUCUGAAGCGAAGACAAAAUUGAUGACUCCCAGAGUUGACUCGUUGGCUGAUUAAUUGAUUAAUUCAUCUUGACAUAAAGCUUGUCGAAUUUUGAGCCAUGUAUUUGUGUAGCCCCCGACUAUUUGGUUAGUUGGGAAACAACUGAACAUAGAGUCGAGAAUUAUAGCUUCUUGUCGUCGAGUAGUCAUUGCUUGAUUGAAGAUAUGUGUUGAAGAUGUCCAAGUAGAAAUCCUGAAUAUUGGAGAGCCACUUUUUGUAGUAAAAUAACACGGCAUCGCAUGCCGAGAUGUCGAGGUUCACAAAGACGUCGUGGUUGGUGAAGUAGCAAAACUUGCGAAGUAGCAGCAAUAGAGUUUGCCGGUGCCGAAGAUAAUAAAGAUGAAGUCGCUCCACCAUGAUGACAAAGUUGCAUUGCCGUAAUGGAGUGAACACGAGUCGGCGGCAACAGAAGCAAAUCGGUAGUGAAGACGCGCAGUUGUGAAGAUAAAAGCAUCAGUCGGCGACGGCAUAACUAGUCGGCGAUGGAAGACGAUGAUGUCCAUCAGUAGUGGUAGCGGUAUAAACCAGACGUAGAGACGAUGGCACUAGUAAGCAGCAGACGAGACGACCGGCGAUGACGACGAUAAGGCCAAUCAACACUGGCAGAAUCAUGCAGCCAUGGAAGUGAAUAAACUAGUCGGCAGCAGACGUAGACAGCUUGCGUUGAAGAUGAUGACGUCUAUUAGCGGUGACGGCGACGUAGCCAGCUGUGAAGAAGAUAGCAUCAGUUGGCGUCAUAACAGGCCAGCUGUGCAGGCGGAAACACCAGUCGGCGGGGGACGAGGUGGCCGGUCGGUGAAGACGUAGACGCCUAACAUCGGCGGCAUAAUAGGCCAGCCGUGCAGGCGGAAACACCAGUCGGCGGCGGACGAGGUGGCCGGUCGGUGAAGACGUAGACGCCCAACAACGGCGGCAUAAUAGGCCAGCCGUGCAGGCGAAAACACGAGUCGGCGGCGACGAAGGCAAGCCGGUCGGUGAAAACGUAGACGCCCAACAACGGCGGCAUAAUAGGCCAGCCCUGCAGGCGGAGACACCAGUCGGCGGCGGCGAAGGCAAGCCGGUCGGUGAAGACGUAGACGCCCAACAAUGGUGGUGUGACCAAACAACCGUAUAGGCGAAGACACCAGUCGGCGGCGAUGACGACAAGCCGGUGGUGAUGUUCUGACUGAUCCAUUCCUGGAGCGUAAGAGAUAAGCUUAAAGCCAUGAAUCCCUUUUGUGCAUAUCUGGAUCUGGAUCCUGCAGAACAAACAUAUAGGAUGAGUAGUAUCUGAUGUAAAUAUAAUCCUCGAGAAAAUUUCAAGUAUUUUAAAAUGUUUAUAAAUAUGUAUUUAUCCUCUUGUCAAUUUUGAUUUCCCCGAGCAGAUGACUUAUUACGUUUAAACGCUCUGUCCGACUAGUCAUAGCCCCCAAGCACCGGGAGUCAGCCUAGGCACUUCCCAAACAUGCAUAUGAGUGACAUGAGUUCGUCAUUCAUGGAACAAAGUUUCACGAAUCAGAAUUUACUACUCGGGUACUUUUGCAAUUGUGAAGAGCAGAAAAUAAAUUUAUCUUAUCUCUAUGCUUUUGAUUUAUUCCGAAUAAUACUUAGCACCUUGCGUUACUCGGUCCAUCCAACGAGCCCCCGGUGCUAGCAAUUGGCCCAAAGGCAACUAUCCAUUGGCGAACCAAACGGAAAGCAUAGGAAGAUGGAACUCCAUAACUCGAUAGGUACUUUUGUACUCAGAUUAUGUCGCAAGCAAUCAAGAUAAAUAUUAUGAAAAAUAUGAUAUAACAUCUGUAGCCCCUGACUCACUACUCAAUGGAGGACCAAUUGGUGUAGUGAGGCAGAGGAAAAGGAAAAUAUCAUAUAAAGAAAAAAAUUAAUGAUGACUUAGCUUUUUAAUAUUCCCUUGGUGAUGGCAGAAGUAGCCGAUGUGGAAACAAAGCCGUCCAUCAAUGGCAAUGAAAACACCAGCCAUAGAAGCAGCUUGAGGUGACUGACGAUGAAAGUGAAGAUGCCCAUCAACGGCGGCAUGAUAGGCCAGCCGUCUAAGCAGAAACACCAGUCGGCGACGGCGAAGGCAGGCCGGCGGUGAGGUCGUAGAUGCUCGACAACGGCGGCAUAAUAGGCCAGCCGUGCAGGCGGAGACACCAGUCGGCGGCGGCGAAGGCCAGCCGAUCGGUGAAGACGUGGACGCCCAUGAACGGUGGUGUGACCAACCAACCGUAUAGGCGAGGACACCAGUCGGCGGCGACGGAGGUAGGCCGGCGGUGAGGACGUAGACGCCCAACAGCGGCGGCAUAAUAGGCCAGCCGUGCAGGCGGAAACACCAGUCGGCGACAGCGAAGGCCAGCCGGUCGGUGAAGACGUGGAUGCCCAUAAACGGUGGUGUGACCAACCAACCGUAUAGGCGAGAACACCAAUUAACGGCGACGAAGACAGUUGACAGUGAAGAUGACGAUGCCCAUCAGCAACGGCCAAUGGAGAGGCGCAGCCCGGUCAGCGUGAGCCGUACAGGGACGAUAGUCGGGCUCGGCAGCGUGGAAGCAGCCAAUCGCGAACUUGUUGAGACGGUCGACAGUGUCAGCGGAUGUAGCCAACCAUGCAGGCGAAGAUGCCCGGCAAUAGUGAGUGCGGCUAACGCGCGGACAUAUCAAGUCGAUACUCUGCGGCACGGCGACGGCCUGACCACCACGGCAUCUCAGUAGCACAUGCAACCAAACAAAUAAUUAAAUUGAUCAGCAGCAGCAAGGAAUUAAUUAAAGAUAAAUGCACAAAUAUCACGUGAGAUGUGAUUGGUUGCUGGCUUGAUGGGCAUGCAUGUUGCCGAUGCAUGGUCCUGUGCAUGCUGGUGAUCACGUGUCAUCGUAUCAUUUGUCGGCCAUGUUGCCAUUCACAGCCUUGUUGAAUUUGGUUGUUGAUGAUGUCGCCGGUGGCGAAGACGAUGCAACCCGCCCGACUAGUUGACGAUGACGGCGCGGCCGCGCGGGCACAGGCCCGUGCACAAGUCUGGCAGCAGCCGGUCAGUCCUCGCCGACUUUGAAGCGGCGGAGGAACAGAUCCGCGGCUCCGGAAGGACGGCGGGGAGGGAGGCGACGUAGUCGUCGGAGCGGAGGAGGCGGAGGUCGCAGCAGCGCGCAGGCGGCGUAGCUGCGUGCGCGGUACCGGCGUCGUCGGUGUCCAUCAGCUGCAGCCAUCUCCUAUGCAUGCCGAUUAGAUCGGUUUUGUCAUGCCUUGUGAUUGUAGAUCCAUCUUGCAGCAUCAUGGCAUCUUCGUUGGGGUAGAUUGAUUGGUUCAUUAGGCUUGGUGGUGGACGACCAUCUGAUUCGUCGGAUCGUCGUUGCCAUCGUGCCGAUACGAACAGGAUCAGGCGGAGAACAGCAACGGCGACCGGUCUUAGGGUUUGGCCAUGAUGCUCCUUAGUUAGAUUGAAUCUCUCCCGACUGGUUUGAAUCCAAGUCAGAGAACGAGAGCUUGUUAAAACUGUCGGUGAUAAGGAAGCAAAACUCCUGAAGCGAAGUGAAGACGAAGCCGACGACUCAUGAAGUUGAUUCCAUCGCACUAGUCAAUAGGAAACUCGGCGUCACCCCUACCUGGCGCGCCAACUGUCGAAACAUGAAUUCGGCAAUAAUAAAAGGGGGUAGCGCACGAGACCUAAAAGUGGAUGGAUGCGGAGACAAAGAUUUAGACAGGUUCAGGCCCUCUCAAUGAGAGGUAAUACCCUACUCCUGUUUGGGGAUUUGAAUCCGCCAGGUGUAGUAUAGAUCUGUCGAUCAUAUGUGCUCAUGCCCCCGAGAGGGCCUCCUGCCCACCUUAUAUAGGAUGGGGGGCAGGAUUACAAGAUAGAAACCUUAACCAAUACGGUAUCGGUUUUCUAAAUCUACUUUACAAUCCUAUCAAACCAGGACUUUAGGCCGUUCCAUAAUAUACAGGGAAACGUAAUACCCAAAUCACGAUACGUUACAUAUUUCAUAGAUAUAAGUUAUCCCCUAUAACUAGUCGGAUAACCACACCGUGUGGGUAUGGGGUACCCAUAAUCUCUACAAUAUGUGAUGAUGAGAUGUGUCAUGACUCGCAGAUUCACAAUUUUUGCAGAACAUUUGCUCUUUUUCUCUUAAUUAACAAUUUGCUGAACAAUCUGCUAUUUUGCAGCUGCUCCAACUAGUCCAUUAUGGCAGAAAGUGGAGAGAAAAUUUUGAAGGCCCGAUGAACAUGAGUAGAGCAACACAAAUAAGUUCAAUGAAUUCAUAGUACUAACUACACCCCAAGGCCUGAUGAACAUAGAGCACCCCAUAUGCUAGUCCUCUCCACUCAUCUGUUAUCCUUUUUUUAUGUCCUAACAGAUAUAGAUAAUUACAAUUAUGCGAUGCUCUUUUCACAAAGAGGGCAGCUACCGCACGGGAUUCCGUUGCAACGUAGCUGCCACGGGAUAAGAUCUCCACUACCUUAUCUCCUUCCUUUCCCCUCCACAAACUCUCUCUCUCUCACAGGAGAAGAAAACGAGAGGCGGAGAUGAAGCUGGCCAGGAGGAAGGGGUCGUCGUCGUCUCCGGCGGCCGUGGACGACGACGGCACGGCGUCGGCGAGGUCGGGGCGGCGUCGAGGGUGAUCUCGCCGCACCUCCACGACGUCGUCCUCCGCCCGCUGCGGUGCCGCCUCCACGCGCUGUGGCGCUGCUUCUUCCACUGGCGCUCUCGUUGCUGCCGGCACCGGGGCCUCUCCCCUCCUCCCUCGCGCUCCUCGCCAAGGUCGCCGUCGUCCUUGCCCGCUGCUCCCGCCGCCUCCUUGCCAGUGAGCGCAGGUGGCAACUCCUCCGCCGCCACAGAAGCAGAGGAAGCCGGUGGUCUCCUCCUCUCCAUCCUGAUACUUGGUACCUUGGGUAUCAGGUACCUGGUACCUCUGGUACCGUCUGAUACAUUUGGUACCUGGUACCAGGCUAGUACCUAAAAUCUAGUAAUGUGAUACCUGGUACCUGGUACCUGGUACCCUGGUGCCUGGUACCUGGUACCCGUGAUAUCUGGUAUUUGAUACCCGUAAUACCUGGUACCUAGUAUCCUGGUACCUGGUACCCGUGAUACAUGGUACCUGAUACCCGUGAUACCUGGUACCAGUAGCCUGGAGCAGGAGGAGAGAGAGGAGGAGGCAGCCGCGUGGUGGAGCAGGAGAACGAGGCGGUGCGCGAAUCCGGUGAUCGGCGAGGCGAAGCGUGGAGGAGGCAGUGGCGAAUCCGGUGGUCGGCGAGGCGGGGCAGCCGAUGAGAAGACCGACAAGGGCGGGGAGCCAGAGCGGCGCGGCAAGGGAGGCGAGCUUGAGGGCGACCCUUGCCGAGGCCGCGCCGUCGUCGUCCUCCUCGGCGGCCGGGGUCCUGAGCCAGCGGCGGCUUCCCCGGCGCCGGCAGCGGCCUCCACGCCCCCGCUCCCGCUCUCCCUCUUGUUCACCGCACCUGUCGCCAUUCUCCUCGUCGUCGCCGCCUCCCCCGCAGCGGUGGCCGCCGGCUCCGACGAGCGGUGGGGCGACGGCGACAGGGACGACGGCGGCCACCGGCUCCGACGAGCGAUGGGGCGACAGCGACGGGGACGGGGACGACGGUGGCUGUUGGCUCCAAUGAUUUAGGGGAGAAGAGUGAGGUAGGAGGAGGGGAUCGAUCCGGAUUACUAUCCCGUCUCCACGGGAUGCCGUGGAAUAGAUUUUCUAUUUCGCAAAACCAAUUUUUACGUGCGAAUAUUCAUGAUGUAGAUUGAGUUACGCCCUCCUCGGAGAUGGAAUAAAUGUUCCGGAUCAAGUGAGGAAAGCAGUGGGCGUGAAGACCCCUUGGUCGAGACUUGCAGGUGUGACAAGAUCAACAAACCGCUCAAGGCAAUGAAGGCAUGAAUAGCAAGCAACAAUGUGCCUCUGCUCUGUCUAGGGAUGCAAGCCGCGUGGGCAAGCGGUUUUUUUUUCCCACUUAUUCCACUUCUAGUUCAUUUUUUCUUCUAAAUUUUGUACUACCAUGCGGGAAAUAGACUAGCAAGCUGGUUUUUAUGCGGGUAGCGGAACUAUCCACUUGCAUCCCUAGCUCUGUCCCCUCUACAUGACGGUGUCUGGAUCUUGAGGUCACUAAAAUUGCAGAGUCCUGGAACCACAUGAAGGACACCUUGGUCAUCCUGACUUCAAC
rnacentral:lncRNA from 1 species